CCGGAGGAAGGGUGGGGAUGACGUCAAGUCCUCAUCGGCCCUUAUGGGUAGGGCUUCACACGUCAUACAAUGGUCGGUACAGGAGGGUUGCCCAACCCGCGAGGGGGAGCUAAUCCCACAAAGCCGAUCGUAGUCCGGAUCGCAGUCUGCAACUCGACUGCGUGAAGUCGGAAUCGCUAGUAAUCGUGGAUCAGCAUGUCACGGUGAAUACGUUCCCGGGUCUU
rnacentral:rRNA from 1 species